rnacentral:rRNA from 1 species
UACGAAGGGGGCUAGCGUUGCUCGGAAUCACUGGGCGUAAAGGGUGCGUAGGCGGGUCUUUAAGUCAGGGGUGAAAUCCUGGAGCUCAACUCCAGAACUGCCUUUGAUACUGAGGAUCUUGAGUAUGGGAGAGGUGAGUGGAACUGCGAGUGUAGAGGUGAAAUUCGUAGAUAUUCGCAAGAACACCAGUGGCGAAGGCGGCUCACUGGCCCAUUACUGACGCUGAGGCACGAAAGCGUGGGGAGCAACAGG